UGGGGAAUAUUGGACAAUGGACCAAGAGUCUGAUCCAGCAAUUCUGUGUGCACGAUGAAGUUUUUCGGAAUGUAAAGUGCUUUCAGUUGGGAAGAAAGAAAUGACGGUACCAACAGAAGAAGUGACGGCUAAAUACGUGCCAGCAGCCGCGGUAAUACGUAUGUCACAAGCGUUAUCCGGAUUUAUUGGGCGUAAAGCGCGUCUAGGUGGUUAUGUAAGUCUGAUGUGAAAAUGCAGGGCUCAACUCUGUAUUGCGUUGGAAACUGUAUAACUAGAGUACUGGAGAGGUAAGCGGAAUUACAAGUGUAGAGGUGAAAUUCGUAGAUAUUUGUAGGAAUGCCGAUGGGGAAGCCAGCUUACUGGACAGAUACUGACGCUGAAGCGCGAAAGCGUGGGUAGCAAACAGGAUUAGAUACCCUGGUAGUCCAUGCCGUAAACGAUGAUUACUAGGUGUUGGGGGUCGAACCUCAGCGCCCAAGCAAACGCGAUAAGUAAUCCGCCUGGGGAGUACGUACGCAAGUAUG
rnacentral:rRNA from 1 species